UUUUUUUUUUUUUUGAGACGGAGUCUUGCUCUGCCGCCCAGGCUGGAGUGCAGUGGCCGGAUCUCAGCUCACUGCAAGCUCCGCCUCCCGGGUUCACGCCAUUCUCCUGCCUCAGCCUCCCGAAAAUAAAUUAAUUAAUUAAAUUAAACUUUAAAAUAUUUGCCAAGUUAAGUGAGAAAAAUAAGAAGGAAAUAAACUCUCUUUUAAAAUAUUGGGUAAUUUUCCUUGUGAAUAGCCAGAGUAUAGAUAACCUAUGAAAAUUAGGUUGCUUACUAUGUUUUCUAAAUUUUCAGAAAUUUUUAAAACACCCCAGAACACUACAUCAAAUUCAUUGCUGCAGUCCUAUUUGCAUUAGCUACUAUAUUUGGGGAAAACCUUAUAUCUGAGCCUAAUGUUAAAUCUUACCAGACUCCUGGAAAAGUAAACCCAGAGAGGUGGUGAUGAGUAUAACGCUAUGGAAUCACAAGAAACUGUGGGCCAGAAUAUAAGGAUUCAAUUGUUGGGGAGUUGCUUUAUGAAAAAGUAAAAAUACUGUCUUUAGCAAGUUAAAGGAAGACAUCACGGGUCAUAUUUACUACUAGUUGGGAUCAGUCACAUUGAAUUUAAAUAAAAAUUUAUUGAGGAGUAUAUUUCCCAUCAUACCAAAAUGAUAAACUUUAAAAGACUCUAUAACCUAUAAUUUUCUUUUCAUGCAAAAUUUGAAGGCAAAUUCAAAACAUUAGCUAUUCUCAUUAUUUACAAGCAGUUUCUUUGUAAUUUUAGUUGUACUAUAUACAGUAUACAUACUAGUAGUAUAUGUAGUGGUAUAUAUUUUAUAUGUAAUUUAUAUAGAUUUUAUACUACGUAUGUGUGCAUAUAUACACACACAUACAUGCAUAACACAAAGCUGAGUUUACUGCUUACUGCAGCAAAGAAUGCAACCUCAACAGAGUCUUCACUGUGUCUCUGAGGAGAAAGAACAAUUUGGAAAUUUGGAGUCUCGUUUAUGUGGCUCUUUCAGUAAAGGAGCUUGAUUAGAGAUAUGUAAGUUUUACGUACUCUGCACAAUGCAUUUGAACAUCUAUUUUAUAUUUAACAAUGUUAAAAGUGUAUUAAUUGUUUUUACAUAUUAAGUAUAACAAAUCAUUUAAAAGUACAAAUAUAUUAUGAAAUUAUAUGGCUAUAUAAAUCCUUCUAGUAUCUUUUUAGACAACACAAAAUAUUAUUUUAUUUUUACAACAGAACUGUUGGUCACAGAAAAAAAUAAUGUCUUAAGAAGGAUAGUUUACUUGCCUAAUUAAGAACCUAAAUGUCCCGAUCUAUAAUAAAUGGGGCACUGCAUGUCUUCUGAUGACUGGUUUAGUGUUAUUUCUUAGUAAGUAACAUCUGCUAGCUGAGCACUAUGAGUGUCUAUGCCUUUUUCCUCAUCUUCAUUUCCAGAAAGUUUAUGCCACCUCUGCAAUGCAUUUUUCUUCAAAACAGACAGAGGAAAGGGUUUAUUUUAAUGAGAAUUUUGUUUUCCCAAUGGAUAAAAAACAGUCCUUAGAAUUGAAAUCCUUACUGAAUUAACCCUGAAUUUGGAGAAGGCUUCGCAUCAAUCCAUGCUACACCACUUCUAGAGAUCAACGCUGAGAAUGCCUUUUAGAAUCAUCAAACAGGCCACUUGCUCUUUUAUGUUUUCAAAUCAUCAAGUAUUUAUUAAUCAUCUCCUAUCUAAUAGUACUGUUAGGAGACUUGGCAGACUCUAAUGAUGUGGUCACUGCCCUUGGGACUAUUCUCUGGCUAUUUCUUUGGCCUUAACUUUGGUUUAAAAUAAUCUAAAUAAAGCAACAUGGAACACAGGUAAACAGUAAUAAAUAAGAAAAAAAAGAGCACAAGAAAAACACCAAGUUAAAUCAUCAGACAUGUGUUUACCAAGCUCUGCAAAGAAAGGAGUUCAGAGUAAAAAAUUAUCAUGUAUAGGAAUAAAUGAUUGAUUCUUAAAAUGGUGUUUAUGAAGAACCUAAAGUGAUUUCUACUUCUAAAAUAAUUUACUGUCACCUUGGGUUUUGAUUUUUAAGCUAUCUUUCUGCUCUUAUGAUAACUAUCUUGAAAAAUAUUUUUUAAAGACAAAAUCUUAGUGUAGAAAACACUUGUGGCAGAAAAUCCCAGCUAGCAUUUAAAUAUAUACUUAUCGUUAGACAAUUCAAAUAGAGUUAACAAGUAAUUCAAAAUAUCCCCAACCCAAAAUAAUCUUUGUUAACUACUUUUGUGUCUCUUUCCAGAAAACAAAUCCUAACCACACACAAAUAUAGAGAGAGUAAUUUGUACCUUUCUUUAAAACAUGAUUGUUUUUUGAAUAGGUAAUAUAGUCACAUGGUUCAAAAUGUAAAAGAUACAAACAAGUAGAGAGUGAAAAUUUCUCAUUCGCCAUGUCCCUUAGAUAUAUUCUUAUUCUUGAGGCAAUUUGUAUAUUGUGCAUACUUUCAGAAAUAUUUAAUGAAUGUACAUCCAAAUAUGUAUAUAUUUCUGGUUUCAUCUCAUAAACACCUGCACCUGAAUGUUACACUGAAUGUUACAUUUUUCCUUUUUUUUUUUUUUUUUUUUUAACAGAAAGGGUUUCUUUAAUUCUCCACCUUCUCGGGUCAAACUCAGUUGUUUAACACCUUGUUUCUUCACCUUAAAGACCCCAAAGGUGAAAUGUGAAGAAAACCCAAAACUUUGAGUACAUUUUUCUUGUCACAUAUUGAUAAAACACAAUUUGAGUAAUUAUGUGAAGUGCAGUAUAUUGAUGGUAAAAACAUGACAUGAAAGCAUUUUCAUAUAAAAAGGUCUAAACAUUUUAGUUAAUUCCAGGUUUAAAAGGUUCAAGAAAAUUACAGUGUCUGCUUGAAAAGCUAAUGUUUCCCUACCUUUGCAUUAGUAGUAACAUAUGUCUGGAUAACAUUAGAUUAUAUUUGAAAUUUUGGGUCUAGUUCUGGGCACCAUCAUUUCAAAGGUAUAUGGGCAAAGUAAUUCAUUCAGAAGAGUCUUAACUAAAUAAGGAUCCCCUGGGGACCAUAACUAUAUAAGGAUUGCAUUGUAGGACUAGAGAGUUUGUUUCUGGUGUAGAUGAACAGGGAGAAGAAUAUAUAAAUGAGUUUCAAAUACGUGAAGGGCUUUCCUGCUGAACAGUCAAUGGAUGGAUUCUGAGUUGCUUCUGAAAGACUGUUUAUCAGAAUCAUCCAACAGUAAGUAGUCUACUCAGGAAGUGACUGUCUCCUCAGAAGCUGAAAUUGUUAAUCACAAUUAUGUAAAAGUUUCCCUAGGAAGAAAAAAAAAAAAAGAAAUACCCAACUCUUCCUGGAACCGGGAAGAAGGAAGGGAAGAAGGAAAGCAGAAAGAGAGGGAAUCCACAAAAGCAUGAAGUCUUGGGAAAA
ensembl:lncRNA